rnacentral:rRNA from 1 species
AACGGAGGGGGCAAGUGUUAUCCGCAAUGACUGGGCGUAAAGGGCAUGUAGGCUGUUUUUUUCCACCAAAAAAAUUAAAAUACUUUAGAAAAAAUAAAGAAAAAAUUUUUUUAUAGUGGGUUAAACUUGAGUUUUGUUCAAGGAUAUAGAAUUCUUAAAGGAGGGGUGGAAUCCAGUGAGAUUAAGAGGAAUGCCAACGGGUGAAAGCGAUAUUCUAGAAUAAACUGACGCUGAGAUGCGAAAGCAUGGGUAUCGAAUAGG